GAGAGGCUCAUGAUGCUGAAUGCUGUCAUCAAAGGCUUUGGCUUUUGUGGUGGAGCAGGACCUGCAAGGAAAGAUGAUGGCAGCAUUUGUUUUAGGGAUUUUACUGAAAUAUUAAGAUCUGAAAUGUCUGCAGACUGGUGUGAGCACUGAGGAUGAGGAGCCAAGAGGUGCAUCCUGGAAGUGGUGCCAUGGAUGAGUCCCUCCAUCUCUCCACCUGCCUUUACGAGACCCUCGAUCUCUCCACCUGCCCUUAUUGCCUCAGAUUGUGAAGCGCAGCACAACAACAAGCUCUGGGAAGAAGGCACAGUCCCCUCUGGUGAAUUCAUCAGAAUAAAGCUGCAGAAUGGGAACCGCUGCGUCGAGUCGGCAGUAGG